rnacentral:rRNA from 1 species
UAAGCGGAGGAAAAGAAACUAACAAGGAUUCCCCUAGUAACGGCGAGUGAAGUGGGAAAAGCUCAACUUUGAAAUCUGGCACCUUCGGUGUCCGAAUUGUAGUCUCUAGAAGUGUUUUCCGUGCUGGCCCAUGUGUGAGUCUGUUGGAACACAGCGUCAUAGAGGGUGACAACCCCGUUCAUAACAUGGACCCCAGUGCUUUGUGAUACACUCUCGACGAGUCGAGUUGUUUGGGAAUGCAGCUCAAAUUGGGUGGUAAAUUCCAUCUAAAGCUAAAUAUUGGCGAGAGACCGAUAGCAAACAAGUACCGUGAGGGAAAGAUGAAAAGCACUUUGGAAAGAGAGUUAACAGUACGUGAAAUUGCUAAAAGGGAAACGAUUGAAGUCAGACGUGCGUGGUGCGGUUCAGCUCUGGUUCGCCAGAGUGUAUUCCGUGCCUUUGCAGGCCAACAUCGGUUUCACGAGGCGGAUAAAGGUUUGAGAAAUGUGGCACCUUCGGGUGUGUUAUAGUCUCUUGCUGAAUACGCCUCGAGGGACCGAGGAACGCAGCGCGCCGCAAGGCAAAGCCUCUGGGCUUUUCGCGCUUAGGAUGUUGGUGAAAUGGCUUUAAACGACCCGUCUUGAAACACG